ensembl:snRNA U6 U6 spliceosomal RNA
GUGCUUGCUUUGGCAGCAUGUACACUAAAAUUGGAACGAUACAGAGGAUCAGCAUGGCCCCUGUGCAAGGAUGACAUGCAAACUUGUGAAGCGUUUGAUAUUUCU